AUUGAACGCUGGCGGAAUGCUUUACACAUGCAAGUCGAACGGCAGCACGGACUUCGGUCUGGUGGCGAGUGGCGAACGGGUGAGUAAUGUUUCGGAACGUGCCCAGUCGUGGGGGAUAACGUAGUGAAAAUUACGCUAAUACCGCAUACGAUCUAUGGAUGAAAGCGGGGGAUCGCAAGACCUCGCGCGAUUGGAGCGGCCGAUAUCAGAUUAGGUAGUUGGUGGGGUAAAGGCUCACCAAGCCAACGAUCUGUAGCUGGUCUGAGAGGACGACCAGCCACACUGGAACUGAGACACGGUCCAGACUCCUACGGGAGGCAGCAGUGGGGAAUUUUGGACAAUGGGCGAAAGCCUGAUCCAGCCAUUCCGCGUGCAGGAUGAAGGCCCUCGGGUUGUAAACUGCUUUUGUACAGAACGAAAAGGUUUCUACUAAUACUAGGAGCUCAUGACGGUACUGUAAGAAUAAGCACCGGCUAACUACGUGCCAGCCGCCGCUGUAA
rnacentral:rRNA from 1 species